GCCGAAGUGGCGGAAUUGGUAGACGCGCUAGUUUCAGGGACUAGUGGACGUAUGUUCGUGGGAGUUCGAAUCUCCCCUUCGGCA
rnacentral:tRNA from 1 species